rnacentral:rRNA from 1 species
AACUCGGCAAAAUGACCCCGUAACUUAGGGAUAAGGGGUGCCACCAUCAGGUGGCCGCAGAGAAUAGGCCCAAGCGACUGUUUACCAAAAACAUAGGUUUCUGCUAAGUCGCAAGACGAUGUAUAGGAGCUGACGCCUGCCCGGUGCUGGAAGGUUAAGGGGAUCUGUUAGAGCAAUCGAAGCAGUGAACUUAAGCCCCAGUAAACGGCGGCCGUAACUAUAACGGUCCUAAGGUAGCGAAAUUCCUUGUCGGGUAAGUUCCGACCCGCACGAAAGGCGUAACGAUUUGGGCACUGUCUCAACAACAGACUCGGUGAAAUUGUAAUUCCGGUGAAGAUGCCGGAUACCUGCGACAGGACGGAAAGACCCCAUGGAGCUUUACUGUAGCUUGACAUUGGGUCUUGGUACUACAUGUACAGGAUAGGUGGGAGGCUUUGAAACCAGGACGCCAGUUUUGGCGGAGCCAUCCUUGGGAUACCACCCUUGUAGUACUGGGACUCUAACCAUAGGCCAUGAAUCUGGUCUUGGGACACUGUCAGGUGGGCAGUUUGACUGGGGCGGUCGCCUCCCAAAAGGUAACGGAGGCGCUCAAAGGUUCUCUCAGUACGG